GUAGGUGGCAAGCGUUGUCCGGAAUUAUUGGGCGUAAAGCGCGCGCAGGCGGUUCUUUAAGUCUGAUGUGAAAGCCCACGGCUCAACCGUGGAGGGUCAUUGGAAACUGGAGAACUUGAGUACAGAAGAGGAAAGCGGAAUUCCACGUGUAGCGGUGAAAUGCGUAGAGAUGUGGAGGAACACCAGUGGCGAAGGCGGCUUUCUGGUCUGUAACUGACGCUGAGGCGCGAAAGCGUGGGGAGCAAACAGGAUUAGAUACCCUGGUAGUCCACGCCGUAAACGAUGAGUGCUAAGUGUUAGGGGGUUUUCCGCCCCCCUUACUGCUGCAGCUAACGCAUUAAGCACUCCGCCUGGGAGUACGGCCGCAAGGCUG
rnacentral:rRNA from 1 species